rnacentral:rRNA from 1 species
GACGAACGCUGGCGGCGUGCCUAACACAUGCAAGUCGAACGGAGUGUUACGCUGAAUUGAAGGUAGCUUGCUACCGGAUUUUCUUGUGACACUUAGUGGCGGACGGGUGAGUAACGCGUGAGCAACCUGCCUUUCAGAGGGGGACAACAGUUGGAAACGACUGCUAAUACCGCAUGACAUGUGACUGUGGCAUCACAGACACAUCAAAGAUUUAUCGCUGAAAGAUGGGCUCGCGUUGGAUUAGAUAGUUGGUGAGGUAACGGCUCACCAAGUCGACGAUCCAUAGCCGGACUGAGAGGUUGAACGGCCACAUUGGGACUGAGACAGGCCCAAACUCCUACGGGAGGCAGCAGUAGGGAAUUUUGCGCAAUGGCGAAAGCCUGAGCAGCAACGCCGCGUGAAUGUUAAACCCUUCGGGGUGUAAAGUUCUGUCAGUGGGACGAAACUUGACGGUACCCACAGAGGAAGCACCGGUCUAAAAUACGUAGCCAG